UCCUACGGGAGGCAGCAGUGGGGAAUAUUGGACAAUGGGGGGAACCCUGAUCCAGCCAUGCCGCGUGUGUGAAGAAGGCCUUAUGGUUGUAAAGCACUUUAAGCGAGGAGGAGGUUACUUUGGUUAAUACCUAGAGAUAGUGGACGUACUCGCAGA
rnacentral:rRNA from 1 species